CUUGSUCCUGUUUGGUUAGCGGCGGACGGGUGAGUAACACGUGGGCAACCUGCCUGURAGACUGGGAUAACACCGGGAAACCGGUGCUAAUACCGGAUAAUCCUUUUCCUCUCAUGAGGAAAAGCUGAAAGUCGGUUUCGGCUGACACUUACAGAUGGGCCCGCGGCGCAUUAKCUAKUUGGUGAGGUAACGGCUCACCAAGGCGACRAUGCGUAGCCSACMUGAGAGGGUGAUCGGCCACACUGGGACUGAGACACGGCCCASACUCCUACGGGAGGCWGCAGUAGGGAAUCUUCCMCAAUGGACRAAAGUCUGAUGGAGCAMCGCCGCGUGAGCGAURAARGCCUUCGGGUCGUAAAGCUCUGUUGUUAGGGAAWAACAAGUACCGGAGUAACUGCCGGUACCUUGACGGUACCUAACCASAAAGCCACGGCUAACUACRUGCCAGCASCCGCGGUAAUACRUAKGUGGCAAGCGUUGUCCGGAAUUAUUGGGCGUAAAGCGCGCGCASGCGGUCCUUUAAGUCUGAURUGAAARCCCACGGCUCAACCGUGGAGGGUCAUUGGAAACUGGGGGACUUGAGUGCAGAAGAGRAAAGCGGAAUUCCACGUGUAGCGGUGAAAUGCGUAKAGAUGUGGAGRAACACCASUGGCGAARGCGGCUUUCUGGUCUGUAACUGACRCUGAGGCGCGAAAGCGUGUGGAGCAAACAGGAUUAGAUACCCUGGUAGUCCACGCCGUAAACRAURAGWGCUAAGUGUUAGGGGGUUUCCGC
rnacentral:rRNA from 1 species